rnacentral:lncRNA from 1 species
UCAACGAGUACUUCAGAGCUGCUCAGAAAGAUGGUUUCGCGACUGCUCUUGGAAGCGUUUAGGCGCUAUAGACCUCACCUUGUCACUCGAAGAACAAUUUGAAAAGAAAACACAGUCUACAAUCAUCGCCUGAACAGCGAGUGAACAAAGCAUUUAUUCCAGAAUCCAACGCCGAGAAAAUAAAGAAAACCUCGUGCUACGUGGACAGAGGUCCAGAAGACUGCAGCCGUUACAAACCGGACGGAAAGACAUGCGGCGACCUGAAGUGCGAGGAGGAGGAGGGCUAUAUCUGCUGCUUGAAAGAUUGCAACAUGACCCACUUUUGCUUCAAAGACAAAUAUAACUAACCAUAACCAUGAACGCGUAGAAAUAGCGUUCAGCGGCCGCCGAUGGCACCUGGAUAUAAUCCGGAAUAAAUAUCUUUGUAUG